rnacentral:rRNA from 1 species
ACCCCUGUGAGAAUGCCCCACAGUUUCCCGCCCGGAAACAAGGAGCCGGUAUCAGGCACAGUUAACGCCAGCCCAUGACACCUUGCUUAGCCACACCCUCAAGGGACUUCAGCAGUGAUAAACAUUAAGCUAUAAGUGAAAACUUGACUUAGUUAAAGCUAAAAGAGCCGGUAAAACUCGUGCCAGCCACCGCGGUUAUACGAGAGGCUCAAGUUGACAGACAACGGCGUAAAGAGUGGUUAAGGAAUUUACUAAACUAAAGCCGAACGCCCUCAGAACUGUUAUACGUUUCCGAAGGUAAGAAGCCCCACCACGAAAGUGACUUUAUUUUCCCCGACUCCACGAAAGCUGCGGAACAAACUGGGAUUAGAUACCCCAUUAUGCCCAGCCCUAAACUUUGAUAGACCAUUACACCCACUAUCCGCCAGGGUACUACGAGCAUUAGCUUAAAACCCAAAGGACUUGGCGGUGCUUUAUAUCCACCUAGAGGAGCCUGUUCUAGAACCGAUAACCCCCGUUAAACCUCACCCUCCCUUGUUUUUUCC